UAGGGAAUCUUCCACAAUGGACGCAAGUCUGAUGGAGCAACGCCGCGUGAGUGAAGAAGGUUUUCGGAUCGUAAAGCUCUGUUGUUGGUGAAGAAGGAUAGAGGCAGUAACUGGUCCUUAUUUGACGGUAAUCAACCAGAAAGUCACGGCUAACUACGUGCCAGCAGCCGCGGUAAUACGUAGGUGGCAAGCGUUGUCCGGAUUUAUUGGGCGUAAAGCGAGCGCAGGCGGAAUGAUAAGUCUGAUGUGAAAGCCCACGGCUCAACCGUGGAACUGCAUCGGAAACUGUCAUUCUUGAGUGCAGAAGAGGAGAGUGGAAUUCCAUGUGUAGCGGUGGAAUGCGUAGAUAUAUGGAAGAACACCAGUGGCGAAGGCGGCUCUCUGGUCUGCAACUGACGCUGAGGCUCGAAAGCAUGGGUAGCGAACAGG
rnacentral:rRNA from 1 species